rnacentral:rRNA from 1 species
UACAGAGGGGGCAAGCGUUGUUCGGAAUUACUGGGCGUAAAGGGCGCGUAGGCGGCCUGUUAAGUCGAACGUGAAAUCCCCGGGCUCAACCCGGGAACUGCGUCCGAUACUGGCAGGCUUGAAUCCGGGAGAGGGAUGCGGAAUUCCUGGUGUAGCGGUGAAAUGCGCAGAUAUCAGGAGGAACACCGAUUGCGAAGGCAGCUCGCUGGGACGUCACUGACGCUGAGACGCGAAAGCGUGGGGAGCAAACAGG